UACGUAGGGGGCAAGCGUUGUCCGGAAUCAUUGGGCGUAAAGCGCGUGUAGGCGGUUCGAUAAGUCUGCUGUGAAAGUCCAGGGCUCAACCCUGGAAAGCCGGUGGAUACUGUCAGACUAGAGUGCGGAAGAGGCGAGUGGAAUUCCCGGUGUAGCGGUGAAAUGCGCAGAUAUCGGGAAGAACACCCGUGGCUAAGGCGGCUCUCUAGUACGGUACUGACGCUGAGACGCGAAAGCGUGGGGAGCGAACAGG
rnacentral:rRNA from 1 species